ACACGUAUACUAGCUAGAAACCCCUAUGUUUACAUUCUAAUAAAGACAAUAACCAGUCCCAUCCAAACCAAUCUUCCCCCUUUCACUUCGUUGCGAUAAACUCAAAAACCCUAAUUUUUUAGAAACCUCACUACUCUCCCAUUUUUCUCAAUCGAGGGGAGAAAAUCAUCCCUAAUUGAGACCUCAUUCCAGUUUUGAGCACCGACCAAUGUCUCCAAGCUGAUUCUAGUGGAAGAACCUCAAAGUAACAUGAUUCAGGUAUUGACCAAGAACCUCUCUCCUCACUAUAUGUCGAACGGAUAGAUCAUCUUCAUCUUUGUCACCCUCUCGUCAAUGAUGUCUAGCGGCAAGUUGAAUUCUCUGACCACACAGAGAGAUAGCACCACCGCAUGGUUUACAUUUCUCCAUCUUGUGCUUGAUGAGAAUCGUCUAGAUGCCCCCUAAGCGAGAGUUUCGGCGGCUGCUCCUCCUGCCGGACCUCCAACAAUGACGGCGCCGCGGAGGUUACGGUUAGCGAGUUUGGGACUGGCUCUGGAUGCGGUUACUCUGAUGUACGUAGCUGGAGUCAGGAGUCCCUGCCAUGUAAGGUCAAUAUCUCCGUAAGCAUGUUAUAAAAUUCUUACAUUUCAGUAAUCAUUUAUUCAAAAGUUCCUCUUACAAUUACUGACUAAAUUGUUCCUCUUACGCUUUAAAAGUUGAAGCUUCCUUUUAUGCUUAGAUUUCAAAUGUUACUCGAUUCUUUUUCUUUUUUUUUAAGUUCACAAUUUCAAGUUUCUUUUGUGUUGGAUUAUAAAUAUUACUCCAUUUAUAAAGUUCAUUCUUAAGCUAAACUCAGGGAGAAACCUGGAAAGAAGAUAAAGACAACAACAAGAACAAAAAUCGAUGAAGACAAGAACACAAAAUAAUACAAAUUAAAGAGAAGAAACCCAAAGAGGUGUUGGUAAAACCACAACGUGUACUAAGUAUGCUUAUUAUCAUCAGAAGCAAGACUACAAACCAGCUCUAGUAUGUAUGGAAGGGGUGGUGCUAUCCAUCAACUGAAACAGAAUGCUACCAAGGCUAGGAUUCAUUAUUAUGAAGGUAUUAAGGUUUCUUAUUUAAGUAUCAGCUUUCUUCUUGCUUGUUUUCAAGAUCUUUGGUGCUUCUGUUUACAAAAUAAUAGUAGCUCACAUGUAGGAAUGUGUAUAAACUGAUGGAAUUUCCUUUGUAACGGUGAAGUUAAAGUAAAAUCAUACAAGUUUAUGAAAGUUUAUAUUUGUGCUU